CAAACCUAAAUCGGUUGCCCCCUGCUUUUCCUCCACACCCACCAAUAAUGACGAUCGUUGACUGAGGUUCCCUCAAGAGAGGAGUGGCUAAGGGUGGUGUUGCUUCCUAUGUGAAAUCAAGUGAGAGUCGCCACGCCAUGAAGGUGAGAUCACCGCUGGUUUAGCCGUGAUCGAGAUUUUUUGCACGCCGUGGCCGAAACCUGUAGCAUCACGAUCUACUGUGGAUUUUUUGGGUGUGUUUUCAGUUGGUAGGUGGGGGCUGUGGUGGUGGUGGUGCUUGGUGGAAUUGUUGAAUCCAGUGGUGGCAGAGCUUAUGUUAGAUAUGGUGGUAGUUGUGGUUUUGAUGGUGGCGAUGGUGGUUUUGAAGUUCAAAAUGAUAGUUUGUUGUAGGUGGUAGUGGUGGUGUCGAGAAGUGGCAGUGUUGGUUUGUUCCGGGAGGUGAUGUGGUUAUUGUGGCGGUGGUGUUAUGGUUGAUGCAGUGGUGAUGAUGGGGACAAUAGUGCUUGGCAGCAGAUUUGGGAAUUUUUUUGGUGGAUGUUGUGAUUGUAGAGUGGUAGUGGUAGUGGUAGUGGUAGUGGUGAUGGUGAUGGUGUUGGUUUAGUGUUCGAGAUGAUGGUUUUCUUUCCAGAAGAUGGUGGCGAUGGUUCUAGCGAUGCUAAUGGUGGAUCUAGAGUUGGUAGAGAUUGGAUUUGGAGGUGUUGGUGGUUGUGAUGAUUGUGGUAACGAUGUUGGUGGUCUAGUAGUGGUUGUGGUGGGAUGGGGUUCUAGUGAUGAUGCGGUUGGUGACAGUGGUGUGGUGGUGAUUACAAAUGAUUUGAUUGAUUGUGAUAAAUAAAUUGGUUAAUGUGUGAUCCAAUAAAUAAUAUGUGAUCAAUUAAAAAGAUAAAUUGUGAUCAAUAAAUAAUGUGUAACCUAAAAAUUGUUAAUAUGAUCGAUAAUUUGAUAAUUUGUG
rnacentral:lncRNA from 1 species